GGAGAACAUGAGAAUACUGUGAUUAAAAUAUCUUUUGAGUUUUCUAUAUUGGAUUCAAGUAGUUAAAAUUCCAGUAAGAGUAGAUCCAGAAUCAGAGCUUGGUUGGGGGUACAAAAAAAAUUCUGCAAGAGACUCUUAGGUUUAUCUUACUGAUACUGCCGGUUAUCAGUGACGAGUCCUGCUCCCUCACAUGUUGGAACAUUAGAGAAGCAUGCAGAGGCAGGCAUAUAAAGCAGGGUUUAUUUAAAAAGUGGUAACAUAGACUCCUCCUGGGAGGGGGAAGUGGGCCAUAGCUGGUAUCCUGGUAUCCCCAGGAGCGAGGUGUUCUACCCUUUUUGUAUGUCCUAGGCUUCCUUUGUUCUCUUACCCUCUUCCUGCUUAGGUGACUAGGCCCAGGAAUGCUCUGGGGUGGGACGGCCAAAAGGUGGGAAACAGGUGGACCCAAGGGGGAAGGCAGGAUGGAGCAGCCCAGGUCACAUUAAUUAAGGAUCUUACAGCUCCCUGUAGGGAGGGGCAAUUCCUGGGCCAGGUUACCUUACCAACAGGUUGGAGCAGGGGCAGGUUCUUGAUAAGGGUGGAGGAAGGGCUCUGAAGGAAUUUCAAUCUCUCAGGGAACAGUCUCUAACUUCCCAGACUCACUCAAAAUUGGCCUCCUUGAUCCGACCUGACUUGAUUUACCUAUCUAUACUGACUGCCUGUCUAAUUCUGGCUUCAUCAUGUUGAGAGAGUUCUGAGGUUAGUCAUGUUUGCUAAGGGAGCAAGAUAGGAAGCAAUGGUGUGCUUGGGGUAUGUUUUCAGACCUUGUGUUCAUGUGACAGCUAACGUUAAAUCUGGAGCUAUGUGGAUAAAAUGCUGUGCGUAGUAGAUUGAACCAUCUGUAAUUGCUGUUUCUAUAGGUCAAACAAUGGUUGAAUAAUGGCAAUUUCAUGAUUAAAUUUAACAGCAAUCUAUUUUAACAUUUGCAACAGUUCUCUAAGGCAGGACUAUUCUUUCCUGUUUCACAGGAGAGGAUGAUGAGGCACAGAGAGGUUGAGCAACCCACCAAGGUCAAAGCUGGAUAAUGGGGACUUGCAUGCCAGCCCAGGCAGCUGGCAGUCACACUCCCAGCCUCAUGCUCUGGAAAUUCUUCUUGAAACAUCUAUAAAAGGCAGAUUACUUUUGUUUUAAAUCUGAGUGUUUCUAGACUAUUGUAGAAAUACCACAAUAUCUGAAAU
rnacentral:lncRNA from 1 species